GACGAACGCUGGCGGCGUGCUUAACACAUGCAAGUCGAACGGAAAGGCCCUGCUUUUGUGGUGUGCUCGAGUGGCGAACGGGUGAGUAACACGUGAGUAACCUGCCCUUGACUUUGGGAUAACUUCAGGAAACUGGGGCUAAUACCGGAUAGGAGCUCCUGCUGCAUGGUGGGGGUUGGAAAGUUUCGGCGGUUGGGGAUGGACUCGCGGCUUAUCAGCUUGUUGGUGGGGUAGUGGCUUACCAAGGCUUUGACGGGUAGCCGGCCUGAGAGGGUGACCGGCCACAUUGGGACUGAGAUACGGCCCAGACUCCUACGGGAGGCAGCAGUGGGGAAUAGUGCACAAUGGGCGGAAGCCUGAUGCAGCAACGCCGCGUGCGGGAUGACGGCCUUCGGGUUGUAAACCGCUUUCGCCUGUGACGAAGCGUGAGUGACGGUAAUGGGUAAAGAAGCACCGGCUAACUACGUG
rnacentral:rRNA from 1 species